GUAGGGUGCGAGCGUUAAUCGGAAUUACUGGGCGUAAAGCGUGCGUAGGCGGUUCGUUAAGUUCGUUGUGAAAGCCCCGGGCUCAACCUGGGAAUGGCAAUGGAAACUGGCGGGCUGGAGUAUGGCAGAGGGGGGUGGAAUUCCGCGUGUAGCAGUGAAAUGCGUAGAGAUGCGGAGGAACACCGAUGGCGAAGGCAGCCCCCUGGGCCAAUACUGACGCUCAGGCACGAAAGCGUGGGGAGCAAACAGGAUUAGAUACCCUGGUAGUCCACGCCCUAAACGAUGCUCACUAGGUGUUGGGGAAGCGAUUCCUUGGUACCGUAGCUAACGCGUGAAGUGAGCCGCCUGGGGAGUACGGCC
rnacentral:rRNA from 1 species